CGUACACUAUGUCCGGACGCGGCAAGACC
rnacentral:piRNA from 1 species